rnacentral:rRNA from 1 species
UACGUAGGCAGCAAGCGUUGUUCGGAGUUACUGGGCGUAAAGAGCGCGCAGGCGGUUGAUUAAGUCGAAUGUGAAAGCCCCCGGCCUCAACUGGGGAGGGUCAUUCGAUACUGAUCGACUUGAAGGCAGGAGAGGGUAGUGGAAUUCCUGGUGUAGCGGUGAAAUGCGCAGAUAUCGGGAGGAACACCGGUGGCGAAGGCGGUUCUCUGGGCCUUACCUGACGCUGAGGAGCGAAAGCGUGGGGAGCGAACAGG